GAUGAACGCUGGCGGCGUGCCUAAUACAUGCAAGUAGAACGCUGAAGGAGGAGCUUGCUCUUCUGGAUGAGUUGCGAACGGGUGAGUAACGCGUAGGUAACCUGACUGGUAGCGGGGGAUAACUAUUGGAAACGAUAGCUAAUACAGCAUGACAACAGUUAUUGCAUGAUAACUGUUUAAAAGGGGCAACUGCUCCACUACCAGAUGGACCUGCGUUGUAUUUGCUAGUUGGUGAGGUAACGGCACACCAAGGCGACGAUACAUAGCCGACCUGAGAGGGGGGUGCGCCACCCUGGGACUGAGACCCCGCCCAGACUCCCUCGGGGAGCCGCAGGAGGGGAUCUUUGGCAAUGGGCGGAAGUCUGACCGAGCCACGCCGCGUGAGUGAAGAAGGUUUUCGGGUCGUUAAGCUCUGUUGUAAGAGAAGAACGAGUGUGAGAGUGGAAAGUUCACACUGUGACGGUAUCUUACCAGAAAGCGCCGGCUAACUACGUG
rnacentral:rRNA from 1 species